rnacentral:rRNA from 1 species
GAUGAACGCUGGCGGCGUGCUUAACACAUGCAAGUCGAACGGUGAAGGCGGAGCUUGCUCUGCUGGAUCAGUGGCGAACGGGUGAGUAACACGUGAGCAAUCUGCCCCUGACUCUGGGAUAAGCGCUGGAAACGGCGUCUAAUACUGGAUACGAGCUGCGAAGGCAUCUUCAGCAGCUGGAAAGAAUUUCGGUCAGGGAUGAGCUCGCGGCCUAUCAGCUUGUUGGUGAGGUAAUGGCUCACCAAGGCGUCGACGGGUAGCCGGCCUGAGAGGGUGACCGGCCACACUGGGACUGAGACACGGCCCAGACUCCUACGGGAGGCAGCAGUGGGGAAUAUUGCACAAUGGGCGAAGGCCUGAUGCAGCAACGCCGCGUGAGGGACGACGGCCCUCGGGUUGUAAACCUCUUUUAGCAGGGAAGAAGCGAAAGUGACGGUACCUGCAGAAAAAGCGCCGGCUAACUACGUG